rnacentral:tRNA from 1 species
CAGAUAUUAGUUUAAAAAAAAUUUUAAUUUUGGAGAUUAAAGAUAAGAGAUUUCUUAUAUCUGA